rnacentral:rRNA from 1 species
UAGGCUCAGAGUUUGAUCUGGCUCAGAUUGAACGCUGGCGGCAGGCCUAACACAUGCAAGUCGAACGGUAACAUGUCUAGCUUGCUAGAAGAUGACGAGUGGCGGACGGGUGAGUAAUGCUUGGGAACUUGCCUUUGCGAGGGGGAUAACAGUUGGAAACGACUGCUAAUACCGCAUAAUGUCUUCGGACCAAACGCGGCUUCGGCUCCGGCGCAAAGAGAGGCCCAAGUGAGAUUAGCUAGUUGGUAAGGUAACGGCUUACCAAGGCGACGAUCUCUAGCUGUUCUGAGAGGAAGAUCAGCCACACUGGGACUGAGACACGGCCCAGACUCCUACGGGAGGCAGCAGUGGGGAAUAUUGCACAAUGGGGGCAACCCUGAUGCAGCCAUGCCGCGUGUGUGAAGAAGGCCUUCGGGUUGUAAAGCACUUUCAGUUGUGAGGAAAAGUUAGUAGUUAAUACCUGCUAGCCGUGACGUUAACAACAGAAGAAGCACCGGCUAACUCCGUGCCAGCAGCCGCGGUAAUACGGAGGGUGCGAGCGUUAAUCGGAAUUACUGGGCGUAAAGCGCACGCAGGCGGUUUGUUAAGCUAGAUGUGAAAGCCCCGGGCUCAACCUGGGAUGGUCAUUUAGAACUGGCAGACUAGAGUCUUGGAGAGGGGAGUGGAAUUCCAGGUGUAGCGGUGAAAUGCGUAGAUAUCUGGAGGAACAUCAGUGGCGAAGGCGACUCCCUGGCCAAAGACUGACGCCCAUAGCGAUUGUUUCUUUCAC